rnacentral:rRNA from 1 species
UGAACGCUGGCGGCGUGCUAACACAUGCAAGUCGAACGAUGAUAGAGAGCUUGCUUUCUUGAUUAGUGGCGCACGGGUGAGUAAUGCAUAGAUAAUGUGCCCCUUAGUUCGGGAUAGCCACUGGAAACGGUGAUUAAUACCGGAUACUCCUUCUUGUUAUAAGACAAGUCGGGAAAGUUUUUCGCUAAGGGAUCAGUCUAUGUUCCAUCAGCUUGUUGGUGAGGUAAUGGCUCACCAAGGCUAUGACGGAUAUCUGGUUUGAGAGGAUGAUCAGACACACUGGAACUGAGACACGGUCCAGACUCCUACGGGAGGCAGCAGUGAGGAAUAUUGCACAAUGGAGGAAACUCUGAUGCAGCAACGCCGCGUGGAGGAUGACGCAUUUCGGUGUGUAAACUCCUUUUAUUAGGGAAGAUAAUGACGGUACCUAAUGAAUAAGCACCGGCUAACUCCGUGCCAGCAGCCGCGGUAAUACGGAGGGUGCAAGCGUUACUCGGAAUCACUGGGCGUAAAGGGUGCGUAGGCUGGCUUUUAAGUCAGAUGUGAAAUCCAAUGGCUCAACCAUUGAACUGCAUUUGAAACUGAAAGCCUAGAGUUCAGAAGGGGCAGAUGGAAUUAGUGGUGUAGGGGUAAAAUCCGUAGAUAUCACUAGGAAUAUCAAAAGCGAAGGCGAUCUGCUGGGAUGAUACUGACGCUGAUGAACGCUGGCGGCGUGCUAACACAUGCAAGUCGAACGAUGAUAGAGAGCUUGCUUUCUUGAUUAGUGGCGCACGGGUGAGUAAUGCAUAGAUAAUGUGCCCCUUAGUUCGGGAUAGCCACUGGAAACGGUGAUUAAUACCGGAUACUCCUUCUUGUUAUAAGACAAGUCGGGAAAGUUUUUCGCUAAGGGAUCAGUCUAUGUUCCAUCAGCUUGUUGGUGAGGUAAUGGCUCACCAAGGCUAUGACGGAUAUCUGGUUUGAGAGGAUGAUCAGACACACUGGAACUGAGACACGGUCCAGACUCCUACGGGAGGCAGCAGUGAGGAAUAUUGCACAAUGGAGGAAACUCUGAUGCAGCAACGCCGCGUGGAGGAUGACGCAUUUCGGUGUGUAAACUCCUUUUAUUAGGGAAGAUAAUGACGGUACCUAAUGAAUAAGCACCGGCUAACUCCGUGCCAGCAGCCGCGGUAAUACGGAGGGUGCAAGCGUUACUCGGAAUCACUGGGCGUAAAGGGUGCGUAGGCUGGCUUUUAAGUCAGAUGUGAAAUCCAAUGGCUCAACCAUUGAACUGCAUUUGAAACUGAAAGCCUAGAGUUCAGAAGGGGCAGAUGGAAUUAGUGGUGUAGGGGUAAAAUCCGUAGAUAUCACUAGGAAUAUCAAAAGCGAAGGCGAUCUGCUGGGAUGAUACUGACGCUGA